UACGUAGGGUGCAAGCGUUGUCCGGAAUCAUUGGGCGUAAAGCGCGUGUAGGCGGUUCGGUAAGUCCGCUGUGAAAGUCGGGGGCUCAACCCUCGGAUGCCGGUGGAUACUGUCGAGCUUGAGUACAGAAGAGGCGAGUGGAAUUCCUGGUGUAGCGGUGAAAUGCGCAGAUAUCAGGAGGAACACCAAUUGCGAAGGCAGCUCGCUGGGACGUUACUGACGCUGAGACGCGAAAGCGUGGGGAGCAAACAGG
rnacentral:rRNA from 1 species